UUGCUCAUCUAAAGCGCCCUGUGCUUUGGAAUGGGCAACAUGGAGGGGCAUAGCAUUCUUCUCACUGAAACCCAGGGCAGGGCAGAUACACUCUGCUUUUGGAUCCUGUCGUGAGUGAUAUUU